rnacentral:rRNA from 1 species
UCCGUAGGUGGCAAGCGUUGUCCGGAAUUAUUGGGCGUAAAGCGCGCGCAGGCGGUCCUUUAAGUCUGAUGUGAAAGCCCACGGCUCAACCGUGGAGGGUCAUUGGAAACUGGGGGACUUGAGUACAGAAGAGGAAAGCGGAAUUCCACGUGUAGCGGUGAAAUGCGUAGAGAUGUGGAGGAACACCAGUGGCGAAGGCGGCUUUCUGGUCUGUAACUGACGCUGAGGCGCGAAAGCGUGGGGAGCAAACAGG